UACGUAGGCAGCGAGCGUUGUUCGGAGUUACUGGGCGUAAAGGGUGUGUAGGCGGUUGUUCAAGUUUGGUGUGAAAUCUCCCGGCUCAACUGGGAGGGUGCGCCGAAUACUGAAUGACUAGAGUGCGGGAGAGGUGAGUGGAAUUCCUGGUGUAGCGGUGAAAUGCGUAGAUAUCAGGAGGAACACCGGUGGUGUAGACGGCUCACUGGACCGUAACUGACGCUGAGACACGAAAGCGUGGGUAGCAAACAGG
rnacentral:rRNA from 1 species